rnacentral:rRNA from 1 species
GUCCACGCCUUAAACGAUGGGUACUCGGUGCUGGGCCGCAAGGUUUCAGUGCCAAAGCUAACGCAUUAAGUACCCCACCUGGGGAGUACGAUCGCAAGGUUGAAACUCAAAGGAAUUGACGGGGGCCCGCACAAGCAGUGGAGCAUGUGGUUCAAUUUCGAUGCAACGCGAAGAACCUUACCCGGAUUUGAAAGGCCAGUGACAACCGGCGAAAACCGGUCUUGUAGCAAUACACACUGGUACAGGUGCUGCAUGGCUGUCGU